rnacentral:rRNA from 1 species
AUUGAACGCUGGCGGCAUGCCUUACACAUGCAAGUCGAACGGCAGCACGGGAGCAAUCCUGGUGGCGAGUGGCGAACGGGUGAGUAAUAUAUCGGAACGCGCCCAGUCGUGGGGGAUAAAGCAGCGAAAGCUGUGCUAAUACCGAAUACGAUCCACGGAUGAAAGCGGGGGAUCGCAAGACCUCGCGCGAUUGGAGCGGCCGAUAUCAGAUUAGCUAGUUGGUGGGGUAAAGGCCCACCAAGGCGACGAUCUGGAGCUGGGCUGAGAGGACGACCAGCCAGACUGGAACUUGCACACCGUCCAGACUCCUACGGGAGGCAGCAGUGGGGAAUUUUGGACAAUUGGCGCAAGCCUGAUCCAGCAAUGCCGCGUGCAGGAUGAAGGCCUUCGGGUUGUAAACUGCUUUUGUACGGAACGAAACGGCCCUUUCUAAUACAGGGGGCUAAUGACGGUACCGUAAGAAUAAGCACCGGCUAACUACGUGCCAGCAGCCGCCGUAA